UAAGGUGAUGACAGCAUAAGGGUUCCACCUCUUCCCAUUCCGAACAGAGAAGUUAAACCUUAUCACGCCGNUGNUAUNUGNGAAAGCGGGAGAGUAGGUAAUCGCCCCCU
rnacentral:rRNA from 1 species